rnacentral:lncRNA from 1 species
UUUAGCAACUAGGAUUUAUAUGGCCUUCCUGACUAAAGUGUUAACUUGUGAUUGAAAAGUCAUGUUUUCUAAGAAUAUACGCAAUACUAUAAAACAUAUUUAAAUUAAUGGAUCUAGUUUCUUAUGUAUGCUCUAAAAAGCACGUGCAACAAUUUUCCCCAGUAAAUGAAAUAAAGCUUCUAUCUAUUUAUUUCAGCCUUAGGAAGAAAUGACUGGAUUGAGUUUAACCAAAUAGAGAUGGUGAAAUUAAAAUAGAGGCCAUGGUUAUCAAGUACAUCAACAAAAUAGGCAGUCACGCUUCAGAAGAGAAACAGAGAACCAUGAAGAGAACAGGAAGAAAAGGCCUCAAUUUCCAACAAGAUAACCUGUGGGAAUAAGGAUAUGUUGACCUGCAUUUUCUGACCACUUCCGGCCUGAGUUCCAGGGAAGAGAGUCCUGUUAGGAGGAUUUUCAAUUUCUCAAGGACAAAAGGUCUUUUAUUUCAUUUUCUACUUGGGUCUUUAACAGGCAUGUCCUUUUCAUGGGAUUGUACUAAAG